rnacentral:rRNA from 1 species
GUCUACGGUCAUACCACCCUGAAUGCGCCCGAUCUCAUCUGAUCUCAGAAGUUAAGCAGGGUCAGGCCUGGUUAGUACUUGGAUGGGAGGAAUAUGUCCCAGCAUGUU